UCCCUGGUGGCUCAGAGGUUAAAGCGUCUACCCGCAAUGCAGGAGACCGGGGUUCGAUCCCUGGGUCAGGGAA
rfam:Ovis aries breed Texel chromosome 12, whole genome shotgun sequence.